CAUCAGAUGACUGAAUGUAAGUAAUGGUCUCUUAAACCAAUUUAUAGUAGCUACGCCUACUUCUGAUGA
rnacentral:tRNA from 1 species